UACGGGGGGGGGCAAGCGUUGUUCGGAAUUACUGGGCGUAAAGGGCGCGUAGGCGGCCUUCUAAGUCGGACGUGAAAUCCCUCGGCUUAACCGAGGAACUGCGUCCGAUACUGAAGGGCUUGAAUCCGGGAGAGGGAUGUGGAAUUCCAGGUGUAGCGGUGAAAUGCGUAGAUAUCUGGAGGAACACCGGUGGCGAAGGCGGCAUCCUGGACCGGCAUUGACGCUGAGGCGCGAAAGCUAGGGGAGCAAACGGGG
rnacentral:rRNA from 1 species